CUUAUAUGAUCAAUAAAAGGGCAAAUUUUUUUCAUUCAAGUGUAAUGUGUCCUUGAAUCGUCCAUGAAAUUAGUUUCAAUACAUACUCUCAAGGUAUUUAGAAUUAGAGACAUGAAUUUCAUUCCUAAAGGCUCCCAAUUAUAGGAUCAUUAUGAGGAUGGUGACAGAUCCGAAUAGGCUGACGCACAAAUUAUUUUCUUCGAGAUAGAUUGGUCUCUAAUCUACUGUGUAGAGAUACAAGGCGACGAGUGUGGGUGGUUGUUAGAGAACAACUAGUACUGAGUGUGACCAUAC
rnacentral:lncRNA from 1 species